rnacentral:lncRNA from 1 species
AAAUGGCUUUUCUUGGAUGUCUACUGACUAAAAUUUUUCUUUUCUUUACUCAAAUUUUUUGGAUGAUAGAUUUUCUCUAUGAUUCACGCUUUCAUUUGCUUUUCUCUUCUUUUUUGCAGUUUUGUGAGCCAAGUGCUGCUCUCUCUCUUUUUUUCGUUGCCGUAUUUGACCAGUUAAAUGAUUUUUUUGUUAGUUCUCAUUUUGUAUCUAGGAAAUGCAGAACUCAAAUGCUUAGCUUUAGAAGCUGACAUGGACUUUUAAUCGGAGUCAGUCCCAUCCUACCUUCAGCUGAAUCAUGAUUCUGAGGAGGUUCUUUGCAUUUGCAUGCUUCAAUUUUAGUGUGUCAAAAAAUUAUAUAUGCUGCCAUACCAUUUCCCUUUUUUUCAGAAACCUAGCAUAAGGAACUCCAAAAUCCACCUAACAUAUAGUACACAUUUAUUUUUGAAAUGAAGAAAGUAUAACUUCCUCCCUCUACACAAACUAGAGAUGUGCGUGGUCCUUCUAAAGGAAUUGAAUUUCAUACGCCUUGGUUACCAACAGACUCCCCCCUCCUCUACUUAACUCACCUGGUCGACCAUGCUCGUCUACAUAUAUCUAUACUACUUCCCUCCACC